rnacentral:lncRNA from 1 species
AGGGAUCUGGGCUGGCCUGCUCGUCCCAUGGACUGAAUACAGGAACACCACCUCCCUUUGUGCAGGGCUCUGGGAGGCCAAGGUGGAAAAGGCUCUAAUGGAAUUCCUGCAGGGACAGUUUUCCCUGGCUCAGUGGGAGCUGUUUGCACACAGACGCCACGGAGUAAGCUGCUAGGUGUUUAUUAACUCAGCUUGCAAGAGGAGGGGAAGGGCAGAGGAAAACCGCUGAGGGGAAAAUGCCGGUUAAAAAGACAGACCACCACCCCCUGCUGUCCACCGGAGCUGAGGGAGCCGCGGCUGAGCGAGGUCCUUGUAACCUGUCUGUUCCAGGAGAAACUACUGAUAAGAGUGGCCAGAUAACGGAAACUAUGCCAGAGAGCUGUGACAGUUUGAAUAAGAGAGCACUGUUUCUUGAAAACUGCUGGAAACACUCAUCUGUCCUUCCUUUGGACUGAAACUCAACAGUGAUUUUUGAAGGCAACCAACUCUGCAAAGUUUGUGCUUGAGCUCACUUUGGAACCACAGAG